rnacentral:rRNA from 1 species
UACGAAGGGGGCUAGCGUUGUUCGGAAUUACUGGGCGUAAAGCGCGUGUAGGCGGGUCUUUAAGUCAGGGGUGAAAUGCCAAGGCUCAACCUUGGAACUGCCUUUGGAUACUGGAGAUCUUGAGUCCGGGAGAGGUGAGUGGAACUGCGAGUGUAGAGGUGAAAUUCGUAGAUAUUCGCAAGAACACCAGUGGCGAAGGCGGCUCACUGGCCCGGAACUGACGCUGAGACGCGAAAGCGUGGGGA